CUGUAAGGGAGAAGAUGUCCUCAACCCAACCCACGGCGCUCUGAUGCCCUUUAUCCAGCAAACUGCAGGAACUUACUCUUGAGGAGGACAUUUGUGACUACUUUCGGCCCACCCAGAUCAUCCAGGAUAAUCUUUCUAUUUUAAGGUCAGCAGAUUAACAAUCUUAAUUCCAUCUGCAACCUUAAUUCCUCUUUGCCAUGAAAGGUAAUAUAUUCACAAGUCCCAGAGAUUAGGUUGUAGAAAUCUUUGAGGGUGGAGCAUUAUUCUGUUAAGAGGAAAAUUUAAAAUUUCUGCUCUUGGAAUGAUAUUGUUACAAAAAUAAAAAGCAAGCCGUAGACUGGGAGAAAAGAUUUGCAAAACAUAUAUUAAACAAAAGACUUGUAUCUAGAAAGUAUAAAGAAGCCUUAAAACUCAAUAAGAAGACAAACAACUCAAUUAAAAGAUGGGAAAAGAUUUGAAGAGACAGUUCACCAAAGAAGAUGUAUGGAUGGCAAAUAAGCACAUGAGAAGAUGCUCAGUAUCAUCAGCCAAUAGGCGAAUGCAUUUAAAAUCACAAAGAGAUACUACCACACACCCUAGAACCAGAAAUACCAUUUGACCCAGCCAUCCCAUUACUGGCUAUAUACCCAAAAGAUUAUAAAUCAUUCUACUGUAAAGACACAUGCACACGUAUGUUUAUUGCAGCACUAUUUACAACAGCAAAGACUUGGAACCAACCCAAAUGCCCAUCAAUGAUAGACUGGAUAAAGAAAACAUGGCACAUAUACACCAUGGAAUACUAUGCAGCCGUAAAAAGGAUGAGUUCAUGUCCUUUGCAGGGACAUGGAUGAAGCUGGAAGCCAUCAUUCUCAGCAAACUAACACAGGAACAGAAAACCAAGCACCGCAUGUUCUCAUUCAUAAGUGGGAGUUGAACAAUGAGAACACAUGGAUACAGGGAGGGGAAAAAC
rnacentral:lncRNA from 1 species